GCUGCUCUGGCACUGGCAGCAGUAACGUGGCGCUUCUUUCAGCCUACCGCUCCUCUUGCCGCGUCGGCAGUCGGCACCAUGGCGCUUCCGGCAGAGCAGUGAGCACCGCAAAGCCGUGCCUCCGCGUCGUGACGCCCCGGCUUAUCGGCCACGCAUUUUUGCUGUUCAGAGCCUGCGGGCUGCGGGAUCCAUUGAAGGCCAAGCUUCUGGAGCUCUGGACUGAGGUGUCACCUGCUGCCCGCGAGGUGUUCGACCUUGUGGCGCUGAAGAGGGUGCGCCAGGCCGCGAGCGCGCUGUUGGGGUUCAGAUUUGACAUCCACUCAAACACCUGGACCGAGGAAAUCACACACUGUUGCGCAUCCUGAGCCAUCCGCGGCUUGAACCAAACACUAGACAUGAGAAUGCAGCCGGAUUGACUCUGCAACUGGAAAUUUUGGUUGCUGACUGCUAUUCUGUGGGUCAUUGGAGCUAUCUUCUGGCUUUGUUCUCCAUGGUUUCUACAUUUUUUGGUUGCUUGCUGUUUGCCAAGCCAAUAUGGUCCAAAUUGGUAAAGUAAGUGGUUUGUCAAUUUUCAUGCUGAGGUAGGCCAAAGUUCAUCUGUAUGCCAGUUUAUGAACCUAUUGGUCAACAUGGAUGUUUGGUUAUAGAUCCAGGAGCCAUGCACAGUUAAAAAUAUUUGAGUUUAUUAGUUGACUGCUAUUGGUAGUGGAGCAAAUAUCUUCCCCAGCAGUGUCCUAUAAGUUGGGACCUUGCAUUACGAAUAUAAUCAUAACCUUGGCCAUUGGCCCAUUGCUAUUCCUUUCUGAUAAAACAUUAAACAGGGAAUUGUUCGAAGUUCUCAGAAUAUUGAAUACAAUACAAUUCUCGUUACGAUGAUAUAUUGCUAGGUACAUAUUCAGUGGAUAGAAGAUCAGGCAGUUUAGCAUAUGCACUUUUAUUUUCAGCAUUUAUCAUCUAGAGGUGCUUCUAUUUCAUAUUGAUACUUGAAAGCUACUUGCACUUCCAAAUGAUUAUCUUUGAUAUUUGAGUCACUCUUCAUUGUCAUUGACACAUAACAGAUCAACAGGCUAUGCAACAAAAUAUCUCUAUCUGUGUUACAUGCACUGCAGUGUUUUUGUCCUGGGUGUUUUCACAUGUGAGUGGGGUUGCCAUUGCAAGAUGUUGGCUUAUUAUUAUCUGAAGCUAAUUAAGGCAUCGAGUAGUCUGAUAGAUUUGAUCUGCACGAAAAUCAAGGUAAUGAUCUCCUUGAACACAUGAAAAUCUGGGUGUUUCUUUUCCUUAAUACGAAUUUAAGCUCAGUGUAUCUCCUUAAGAGUCAGAGCCUGAUCUCCAGAAGUUGUUUAAAAUUGAAGCUAACUAGCAGAUGCAUUGUGAAAAUAGGUUUUUUCCUUCUAAAUUUCAUAUAGUUUUGUAAUGACACAUUUAUCAUAACUCAUGAGCCAUUUACCAUGCUAAUCAGUUUCAGAUGCAAAUUAAUUUCUACUCAAAGCCAAUACUGUCUUUUUUUCAUUUGUAUACUCUCUUCGCUGGUAACUGAUGCUAUCUUCGUUUCUUAUAGAUUCAUUUUUAUCAUAUUGCGUGGCAUACUUAUCAUUAUUAUUUCUUAUUUAUGUUUUAAAUGAAUACUAAUAGACAAUAAAUCUUCAGAAAAUAGACAUGUAGACAAUAUUGCAAAAAGUUUUUAUUCCUUAGUGAAAUUGUUUGUCGCUCUUUUUGGUUGGGGUUGUAUGUACUUGGGGGGUUUAAUGCCCCCCCCCCCCCUCUCCUCCUUUAUAUAACUUUUAUUCUUAAUGAAAUGACACACAGCUUCAUGUGUUGUUCGAGAAAAAUUUGUUUAUCAAUCAGUGAUUUAAUUCUUAAGGGUACACUGGGGUCAUAACAUUGGAGGAUAGCAUAGAUAUAAAUCAACGUGGUUAAUUUAGCUAUGUCAAGGUAAUAGGUAAUCCUUAUCAUGAAAUUUACUUGUGCAAGUUAUCAGUAAUUUUCAAAUAUCUUGGUAGACCUGAACAGAGUGUCGGCUUGAUGCAUGUGUGAACCAAGUAGGGCUCGGUUUCUUAUUUUCUCGAAGGACUCUGCCUUCUGAUACCUGGACUUUCUACAGAAGAGUAGUAAUGCAGCCUGGGUUCACACGGCCACACAACCAAACAUACAUUCUCUCAUUUGUUAUCUACACAGUGGUGGUACAACAGCUGUACUAACAAGGAGAUGGCAGGUAAAAAGCUAAAUGAUGAUGGAGAAUUUCCCUAGGCAGCAACCAGGGAAGGCGAAUUGCAAUCCGAAAGAUACUUCCUCAUGCUUGCAGAUGGCGCUGAGAAAUUGACCUGGGGGAUUCGCCCAACAUCGACACUGAAGCUUAGCAUCCAUUCGAACCGCGGAGAUGCAUGGCAUGAAGCAUCUGGCUCUGUGAUUUGGUGAACGGCCUUGUCAUCCCCAAACAUGCUCCGGAAAAGUGUCAGGUUGCUGUCGCCACAGCUAAUCAAUGAGAACCACUUCUCCAAGUCUGAAUAGCUGCCCACAAAGUCGGAGACAGGCGGUGUGAAGCUGAACAUGAGACUGCAGGACAAAUUCGUGAGGACGCUGAGCUCCACAUCCUGAACUUGUAUGGUACUGGCUGGAUCGAGACCGGGAGUACCAACGAAGAAAGGAGGCCUGAUCUCUAUGGUACUGUCACAUGGGAGUUUCGUGAGGCAUGAACUGGUGGAGAAGGCUGGGAGGAUUAAGAGGAAGAUGGCCAGAGAGACCGAGGAGACCUGUGAGGGACUCAUUGCUGGUCACAAACUAGCAACAGGCUUUGCAAUUGCACCUGCAAUGUCCAGCAAAAAGCAGAUGCCGAUGCCCUUCAGGUUCAGGCGACGCUAGCACAAGUGCAGAGGCCAGGCUGCCAGGGGACAAGAGUCGAAGACCUGUGAUAGUCUUCGAACUAUGGAUCACCACACACGGUCACUAGCCUAGCGAAUCACGACAGCACCUGUUUUCUCUAAAUUCAGUCAUUGCCGUUGACGAGGGCCGAGUUAUCGACCACAGUACACGGUAAUUACUUGACUAAUAACCAGUGGCUCUGGCAUCUCUAACAGGCAGUGUCAUGCUCUUUAAAGAGUUGUUUGCCGGGGGUAAGCCAGAGGUUGAGCACCUAGCUAGUCGAGGUGUUGGAGUUGUAGAAUUGUAGGCUUCGGCUUUAUUGGCCGUUUUGGUUGCAUUCGAUGUUCUUGUGACAUUGGAAAAAUAUGAUAUGUGGAAUGUACGGGCCUUAACCGGAGCUCACAUGGUUGUGUUGUGCACACUCUUGUUUGUACUGAGAGGGUUUCCUUAAUCUCUUAAAAGUUAAAA